CCGUCGGGGGGUCUCCUCCGCGCGGACACUGUCGUCGGUACCUCGUACGGCCGGCGCAG
rfam:Streptomyces sp. SPB74 genomic scaffold supercont3.1, whole genome shotgun sequence.